rnacentral:rRNA from 1 species
GACAGAGGUGCCGAGCGUUAGGCGGAAUCACUGGGCUUAAAGCGUGUGUAGGCGGGUCGUUAAGUACCUUGUGAAAUCCCCCGGCUCAACCGGGGAAUGGCUGGGUAUACUGGCGAUCUUGAGCGAUCCAGGGGCAGAUGGAACAAGUGGUGGAGCGGUGAAAUGCGUAGAUAUCGCUUGGAACGCCGAAGGUGAAAACAGGCUGCUGGGGUUGCGCCGACGCUGAGACACGAAAGCCAGGGGAGCAAACGGG